UCCGCUUUGAGAUGGACCCGCGGCGCAUUAGCUAGUUGGUGAGGUAACGGCUCACCAAGGCGACGAUGCGUAGCCGACCUGAGAGGGUGAUCGGCCACAUUGGAACUGAGACACGGUCCAGACUCCUACGGGAGGCGGCAGUGGGGAAUAUUGCGCAAUGGGGGAAACCCUGACGCAGCAACGCCGCGUGAAUGAUGAAGGCCUUCGGGUUGUAAAGUUCUGUCUUCUGGGACGAUAAUGACGGUACCAGAGGAGGAAGCCACGGCUAACUACGUGCCAGCAGCCGCGGUAAUACGUAGGUGGCGAGCGUUGUCCGGAUUUACUGGGCGUAAAGGAUGCGUAGGCGGACAUUUAAGUCAGAUGUGAAAUACCCGAGCUUAACUUGGGUGCUGCAUUUGAAACUGGGUGUCUAGAGUGCAGGAGAGGUAAGUGGAGUUCCUAGUGUAGCGGUGAAAUGCGUAGAGAUUAUAAAGAACACCAGUGGCGAAAGCGACUUACUGGACUGUAACUGACGCUGAGCAUGAAAGCGUGGGGAGCAAACAGGAUUAGAUACCCUGUAGUCACGCCGUAACGAUGAUACUAGGUGGUUCGGGGGUCGAACUCGGUGCCGCAG
rnacentral:rRNA from 1 species